rnacentral:sRNA from 1 species
CGCCGGGCGCAUCAGCUUCGUCUUUGUUGCUUCCCGCCGCGUCCAGGCCCCCGAGGAAGCGCGAGGCGGGAGAGGCUGGGGCUGCGACGAGCAAGCAGCGGGUCCUGGACGAGGAAGAGUAUAUCGAGGUACGACCUCGGUGCGGACGCCGGCGACUUCUGGGCCCAUCCUCUGCUUCAGGCUCCUCUCAGGUUCCCUCUCUCGGGUCUUGACACUCCGUCUCCUCGUGGAAGUGGAGGAGCCGGGUGUGGACGGUCCCACGAGUCAAGUAAACAGGGCAGAGGAAGACGUCUGUGGUGGAAGAGGCUGUAGUAGUGUUGUCAGGGAAAAGAGGGAGCGGCUCUCUUUGUAUGGGACGGGGGUCAGGGAAAGAAGAUUUUCUGUUAAAGUGUGAGUAGGAGUUUGACAAACUGGAAGGAUGGUGGCAAAGAGGGCUUUCUAAAGAGCGGUGGCAGCAAGUGUGAAUGCUGGGGUUCCUGGAAAGAGACCGCAGUUGUGACAGCAUCUCGAGUGAGUGGACCUCCGUCGCCCCACCACACGCACACAGAAGGAGGAGCUGAAACGGGGAUUGGCGGAAGGCCUCCAGACGGUCAUCCAAAGGGAUUUCUUUCCUGAUGUGGAGAAGCUCCAGGCACAGAAGGAGUACCUGGAAGCCGAGGAGAAUGGAGACUUGGAACGGAUGCGCCAGAUUGCCAUCAAGUUUGGCUCUGCCUUGGGCAAGAUGUCCCGGGAGCCCCCGCCACCCUAUGUGACUCCAGCCACGUUUGAAACCCCUGAGGUGCAUGCAGGCACUGGAGUGGUGGGCAACAAGCCCAGGCCCCGCGGCCGAGGCCUGGAGGAUGGAGAGGCUGGAGAGGAGGAGGAGAAGGAGCUGCUGCCCAGCCUAGAUGUCUUCCUGAGCCGCUACACGAGUGAGGACAAUGCCUCCUUCCAGGAGAUCAUGGAGGUGGCCAAGGAGAGAAGCCGGGCACGCCACGCUUGGCUCUACCAGGCUGAGGAAGAGUUUGAGAAGAGGCAGAAAGAUAAUCUCGAACUCCCAUCAGCAGAGCACCAGGCCAUCGAGAGCAGCCAGGCCAGUGUGGAGACCUGGAAGUACAAGGCCAAGAAUUCCCUCAUGUACUAUCCAGAGGGUGUCCCUGACGAGGAGCAGCUGUUUAAGAAGCCCCGGCAGGUGGUACAUAAGAACACGCGCUUCCUUAGGGACCCCUUCAGCCAAGCCCUGAGCAGGUGCCAGCUCCAGCAGGCAGCCGCCCUCAAUGCCCAGCACAAACAGGGCAAGGUGGGCCCCGAUGGCAAGGAGCUGAUCCCCCAGGAGUCCCCUCGAGUGGGUGGAUUUGGAUUUGUUGCCACUCCUUCCCCUGCCCCUGGUGUGAACGAGUCCCCGAUGAUGACCUGGGGGGAGGUUGAGAACACACCCUUGAGAGUUGAAGGGUCGGAAACCCCCUACGUGGACAGGACACCGGGCCCAGCUUUUAAGAUCCUGGAGCCAGGCCGCAGGGAGCGGCUGGGGCUGAAGAUGGCCAACGAGGCCGCUGCCAAGAACCGGGCCAAGAAGCAGGAAGCCUUGCGGAGAGUGACGGAGAAUCUGGCCAGCCUCACCCCCAAAGGCCUGAGCCCAGCCAUGUCGCCAGCCCUACAGCGCCUUGUGAGCAGGACGGCCAGCAAGUACACAGACCGGGCCCUGCGGGCCAGCUACACACCAUCCCCAGCACGCUCCACCCACCUCAAGACCCCGGCCAGUGGGCUGCAGACCCCCACAAGCACACCGGCGCCUGGCUCUGCCACACGCACCCCUCUCACACAGGACCCGGCCUCCAUCACGGACAACCUGCUGCAGCUCCCUGCCCGGCGCAAAGCUUCGGACUUCUUUUAGAGCCAGGCCUGGGCUGGGCUCAUAGACGCUUCACGGAGCCUGCAGGGCAGCUGUACACCCAGCAGAGGACUCCAGCCUUCUCGGGGCCCAGGCCUGGGCCAGAAGCUGUUGACUAUACCAGGAGUCACUGGAGAAAGGGGCUGUGCUGGGGCCAGGCUGGCACAAGGCACUCGUGCCCACACCACACCCCAGGGCCUUGCCAAGCUGUUUGCUGUUUAAUUGGCCCCU